rnacentral:rRNA from 1 species
UACGUAGGGUGCAAGCGUUGUCCGGAAUUAUUGGGCGUAAAGAGCUCGUAGGCGGUUUGUCGCGUCUGCUGUGAAAUCUGGGGGCUCAACCCCCAGCCUGCAGUGGGUACGGGCAGACUAGAGUGCGGUAGGGGAGAUUGGAGUUCCUGGUGUAGCGGUGGAAUGCGCAGAUAUCAGGAGGAACACCGAUGGCGAAGGCAGAUCUCUGGGCCGUAACUGACGCUGAGGAGCGAAAGCAUGGGGAGCGAACAGG